GAUGAACGCUGGCGGCGUGCCUAACACAUGCAAGUCGAGCGGACAGACGCGGAGCUUUCUCCUCUGAGGGUAGCGGCGGACGGGUGGGUAAUAAGUGGAUAACAUACCUCUAAGUCUGGGAGGACUUCGGGAAGAAGGUGCUACUAAUACAUAAUAUAUUGAACCGGUUGGUUCAUUGGUGAAAGAAGGUUUUGCUGUCACUUGUAGAUGGAUUCGCGCCGCAUUAGCUAGUUGGUAAGGUAACGGCGUACCAAGGCUACGAUGCGUAGCCGACCUGAGAGGAUGAUCGGCCACACUGGAACUGAGACACGGUCCAGACUCCUACGGGAGGCAGCAGUAGGGAAUAUUCCGCAAUGGGCGAAAGCCUGACGGAGCAACGCCGCGUGAGUGAAGAAGGUCUUCGGAUCGUAAAACUCUUUUAUUAGGGAAGAACAACUGUGUAAUAAUCUAUGGAUGUCUUGACGGUACCUAAACAAUAAGCACCGGCUAACUACGUG
rnacentral:rRNA from 1 species